ACACACUAAUUUUCUUCAUAAUUUCUUUUGCAAAAAACACUAGUCACCGGCUUAGGCCGUUUUAAGCACAAUUAUGACAGAUGGGUCCCGCCGGAAGGGGUGACGUGGUACAACAUAACGGUUCGCAAAUAGACAGAAUAACAGAGACUGAUUUGAAAAAGAGCCUGAGAGGAUAAGGUCAUCUUUAAAAAAAAGAGGAUAAGGACACGAGUAGGGAGCUCCACAACCGCAUACGGGGAAAGAGACGAUGGCCAGGAGUAGCGGCGAGCUCCACCGCCGGCGCGCUCGAGCUCGCAUACGUUCGGGCCGAUGCCGCCUGGCCACGAGCAGCAGUUCCACCGCGGCUCCCCUGCAGCUCCAUCCCUUGCCCCUGCACCUCGUUGCGGCGCAGCACGGGGACCCUCGACGAUGAGCUCCGCCGUCGCCGGGGCGCUCGAGCUCGCCGGUGUUCGGGCCGAGGCCUCCGGGCCAUGAGCUACGGCCCCACCGCGCUUCCCCCUACACCUCGCUGCCGUGUAGCCCAUCGACCUUCGAAGCACGCCAUUGAGCUCAUCCAUGGCCGCACGAUGGUCAAGCCGCUGCCGCCGGAGCUCCGUUGCCCUAACGUCCUAACCGACAGCGCCGCCGGAUACAUGCCGUCUUGCCCGUCCCCGACCACGCCAGAUCACCCCUCUGCCCCGCUACAGGAGCACAGCAGUUGCGGCGACCGCGCGCAUGGAGGGAUUGACCGUCGGCGUCCACCACCGGACUGGAGGACCCGAUUGCUUUUUUUAGGGGUCCUUUUGCAAAAUAAAAUUGUAGCGGGAUGUAAUUGACUAUUUUUUUGCCACGUCACCCUUUAUGGCGGGACCCACCUGUCAUAAUCGUGCUCAAAACGGCCUAAGCCAGCGACUAGUGUUUUUUUAAAAAAAUUAUGAAAAAAAUUAGUGCUUUUUGGCACAAUUCUGUAAA